rnacentral:rRNA from 1 species
AUUCGGGGAGGUAGUGACAAGAAAUAAUAACUCGGGUAGUUCUACUAUUACGGGAUUAAAAUGAGAACAAUUUAAAAAUCUUAGCGAGGAUCAAAAUGAGGGCAAGUCUGGUGCCAGCAGCCGCGGUAAUUCCAGCUCAUUUAGUGUAUAUUAAAGUUGUUGCAGUUAAAAAGCUCGUAGUCGAUCAUCUAGUGCUGGCUGCUUCGGCUUCGGCUGCGGUACGCGAGUGCUAUCUGCUCGAGAACUUUAUCGGUCUUAACUGGUCGAUGAUGCUGAUCGGGCACUUUCCUGAGAAAAAAUUAGAGUGUUCAAAGCAGGCUAACGCCUUGAAUAUUACAGCUUGGAAUAAUAGAAUAAGACUGAAGUCUCUUUUGUUGGUUAUGAACUUUAGUAAUGGUUAAUAGGAACAGUCGGGGGUAUUAGUAUUUAAUUGUCAGAGGUGAAAUUCUAUGAUUUAUUAAAGACUAACUUAUGCGAAAGCAUUUGCCAAGGAUGUUUUCAAUUGAUCAAGAACGAAAGUUAGGGGAUCAAAGACGAUCAGAUACCGUCCUAGUCUUAACUAUAAACGAUUCCGACUAUGGAUCAGAAGGGUUUUCCAAUCCCUUUUGGCACAUUAUGAGAAAUCAAAGUCUUUGGGUUCUGGGGGAAGUAUGGACACAAGUCUGAAACUUAAAGGAAUUGACGGAAGGGCACACCAGGUGUGGAGCCUGCGGCUUAAUUUGACCCAACACGGGGAAACUUACUAGGGCAAGACUAAGGUUGGAUUGACAGAUUGAGAGCUCUUUCUUGAUUCUUAGGGUGGUGGUGCAUGGCCGUUCUUAGUUGGUGGAGUGAUUUGUCUGGUUAAUUCCGUUAACGAACGAGACCUCAACCUGCUAAACUAGGAGCCGGAUUAAACAUUCGGUUUCCUUCUUAGAGGGACAAAGUGUUCAAGCACUGGGAAGUGAGGCAAUAACAGGUCUGUGAUGCCCCUAGACGUCCUAGGCCGCACGCGCGCUACAAUGACACGUUCAACGAGUUUCUUCCUGGUCCUGACGGAUUCGGGUAAUCUUCAUAGUACGUGUCGUGCUUUGGGAUAGUCCUUUGCAAUUAUAGGACUUAAACUAGGAAUACCUAGUAUAGGUAAGUCAUCAGCUUGCCUAGAUUAUGUCCCUGCCCUUUGUACACACCGCCCGUCGCUCCUACCGAUUUUGAGUGAUUAGGUGAACCUUCUGGAUCAGAGUAGUCUUCAAGGCUGUUCUGAGAAGUUAAGUAAAUCAUUAUCACUUAGAGGAAGGAGAAGUCGUAACAAGGUUUCCGUAGGUGAACCUGCGGAAG